GGAGAAGGAGGAGGAGAAGGAGAAGAAGGAGGAGGAGAAGGAGGAGCAGGAAGAAGAAAUGGUCUGAGGUGUACAGAGGAGAGAUAAUUUGCCUCUCCUCAUUUGAAAGUGGUUGAGCAAGGACCAGAAGAAGGAAAGGAAAGAGGGAAGGGCCAGGGAUAAGAUAUAGUCCCAGGGCGGCCACCCAGGUGACCUGCUUCCUCCAGCUAUGCCCUCGCUGCCUUGUUUACACCUCCCCAUUCAGCUAGUCCAUUCAGCUAUCAAUGGAUUAAUCCACUGAUGAGGUCACAGCCUUUGUGAUCCAAUCACUUCCCCAAAGCUCCACUUCUGAACACUGCUGCACUGGGGAUCAAGCCUUCAGCACAUGAAACUCUGUGGGACAUUCACAUCCAUAACAAGGUUAAUGUGCACCUGAUUCCAUCUCUUCUUGCCUCCUUAGUAUUACAUAUAUCAUUUCCCGGUCAUUACAUCAAAUAUAACUCCUGUUCUCCAUCCAUGGCUCUUCCGUGUACUAAGCUUAGUCCCUGGGGUGGAAAAGACUUCCAUCUUGCCACCACAGUACUUCACACAAUCUCUGUGCAAUGUCCCUGGGUGUCCCUAGGGUCAGUCUCUCUACAGGUGAGUUUGUUGAGGAGCCCUCCUAAAGGGAAGACCUAGGAGAGUUGCAUAGAGUGCACUGACAAUUCCCUUCUUUCUGUGCAGCAGAAGAACCUUUGAUCUUCAAGCACAUUAUCAUGUUGUUGUAUUUUGUCCUUUUUACUUAGAUAGCCCUUUACUGUUCAUGAUGGCUUUUACUUAAAUGACUUCAUUUGAUCGUCUCUACUGUCCUCUGGGAUUUGCAGAAUGGAUCCUAGGAUCUCAUCAUAAAGGAAAACGGCCUGAGGUCUACAGAGGAGAGAUAAUUUGCUUCUCCUCAUUUGAAAGUGAUUGAGAAAGGACCAGAAUUACAAUUUAAUCCUCAUGUUCUAAGCCUCAGUAUCCUUGAGGCCAAGCAUCACAUCUAAAUAUUGUCACCUUCCCAGUGCUUUACAGAGGCACUUAAUGUAUGUUUGCUGACUUCACUUGAGAUAGAGUUUAAGACCAUAGACUUUGAAGUCAAAGGAAUCCUGGAGUCAGCACUUGGUUCGUGGAAUAGUUGGGGCCUAUUGAGGCAGUGGGUUGCUCGUUAAUAAGUGAACUGCUAACAUUUCCCCAUUAUGAGAAACAAAGAGAAUGAGGUGCUGAGCACAGUUCCCAGCACAGGGAAUUAAUGAAAUAUGCUAAGGAUUAUUAUUAACUUGACCCCUCUUUUCAGUUAUUAUUAUUUUUAUUUUGCAAAAAUUUAAAUGUAUUCAGAAAUAGACAGAAUAUCAUAGUGAACCACGACUCGCCAAACUGACAGCUUCAGAAAUUAUCAGCUCCUGCCAAUUUUAUUUCAUAUCUGUGCUCAUCUUCUUUCCAUCCUUAUAUCACUUUGAAGGAAAUUUCAAGCAUCAUAUCCUUUACCUGUAAAUUAUGCAGUAUGUACCUCUAAGACACAGAUGAAAAAAAUGAUAAAUACAGUACAACUAUCACCCCUUGCCACAAAAAUGAACAGUUGUAGCAAAUACACAGAAUAAUAUCUCCUCAAAGAUGGCCAUGUUUAUUACUAUCUUAAUUAUGUUUUUGACCUAACAAAGAAGAAUGAAAACGGCAGAUGUAAGCAAUUCAUUGAUCAGUUGGCCUUAGAUCAAGGCAAUGAUCCUGUAUUACUCGGGUGGACCCAGGAUAAUCACAAGGGUCCCUGCGGGGAAGAGGGAAACAGGGAACCAGAACCAUGCAGAUGGCAGGCUUGUGGGCUUUAAAGAUAAAACAGAAUAAAAUCAUGGCAUUUUCAGGUAAAUGAAUGGAGUUAGAGAAGAUAAUGCUAAGUGAAGUUAGCCAAUCCCAAAAAACAAAAUGCCAAAUGUUUUCUUUGAUAUGAGGAGGCUAAUUCAUAGUGGGAUAGGGAGGGGGAACAUGGGAGGAAUAGAUGAACUCUAGAUACGGCAGAG
rnacentral:lncRNA from 1 species